rnacentral:rRNA from 1 species
AACGAACGCUGGCGGCAUGCCUAACACAUGCAAGUCGAGCGCCCGUAGCAAUACGGGAGCGGCGCACGGGUGAGUAGCGCGUGGGAACCUGCCCAGAGGUUCGGGACAACCGCGGGAAACUGCGGCUGAUACCGGAUGAUGCCUGAGGGCCAAAGAUUUAUCGCCUUUGGAGGGGCCCGCGUCGGAUUAGGUAGUUGGUGAGGUAACGGCUCACCAAGCCUGUGAUCCGUAGCUGGUCUGAGAGGAUGAUCAGCCACACUGGGACUGAGACACGGCCCAGACUCCUACGGGAGGCAGCAGUGGGGAGUAUUGGACAAUGGGGGCAACCCUGAUCCAGCAAUGCCGCGUGGGUGAUGAAGGCC